GGUGAACGCUAGCUACAGGCUUAACACAUGCAAGUCGAGGGGAAACGAUAGAGAAAGCUUGCUUUUUCUAGGCGUCGACCGGCGCACGGGUGAGUAACGCGUAUCCAACCUGCCCACCACUUGGGGAUAACCUUGCGAAAGUAAGACUAAUACCCAAUGACGUCCAUAGAAGACAUCUGAAAUGGAUUAAAGAUUUAUCGGUGAUGGAUGGGGAUGCGUCUGAUUAGCUUGUUGGCGGGGUAACGGCCCACCAAGGCGACGAUCAGUAGGGGUUCUGAGAGGAAGGUCCCCCACAUUGGAACUGAGACACGGUCCAAACUCCUACGGGAGGCAGCAGUGAGGAAUAUUGGUCAAUGGGCGAGAGCCUGAACCAGCCAAGUAGCGUGCAGGAUGACGGCCCUAUGGGUUGUAAACUGCUUUUAUAAGGGAAUAAAGUGGGAGUCGUGACUCCUUUUGCAUGUACCUUAUGAAUAAGGACCGGCUAAUUCCGUGCCAGCCGCCGCGGUAAGAC
rnacentral:rRNA from 1 species